AUUGAACGCUAGCGGGAUGCCUUACACAUGCAAGUCGAACGAGUGGCGAACGGGUGAGUAAUGUAUAGGAACGUGCCCAGUAGCGGGGGAUAACUACGCGAAAGCGUAGCUAAUACCGCAUACCAUCAGAUGUGCCCAGAUGGGAUUAGCUAGUAGGUGGGGUAAUGGCUCACCUAGGCGACGAUCCCUAGCUGGUCUGAGAGGAUGACCAGCCACACUGGAACUGAGACACGGUCCAGACUCUUAUGGGAGGCACCAGUGGGGAAUAUUGCACAAGGGGCGCAAGCCUGAUGCAGCCCUGCCGCGUGUGUGAAGAAGGCCUCUGGGUUGUAAAGCACUUUCAGCGAUGAGGCGUGAUUCGCAGAAGAAGCACCGGCUAACUCCGUGCCAGCAGCCGCGGUAAUAC
rnacentral:rRNA from 1 species